rnacentral:rRNA from 1 species
AGGACGAACGCUGGCGGCGUGCUUAACACAUGCAAGUCGAGCGGAAAGGCCCUUCGGGGUACUCGAGCGGCGAACGGGUGAGUAACACGUGAGCAACCUGCCCUUAGCUCCGGGAUAGCUCCGGGAAACCGGAAUUAAUACCGGAUAUGACCUAGGCCGACAUCGGCUGUGGUGGAAAGUUUUUCGGCUGGGGAUGGACUCGCGGCCUAUCAGCUUGUUGGUGGGGUAAUGGCCUACCAAGGCGACGACGGGUAGCCGGCCUGAGAGGGCGACCGGCCACACUGGGACUGAGACACGGCCCAGACUCCUACGGGAGGCAGCAGUGGGGAAUCUUGCGCAAUGGGCGAAAGCCUGACGCAGCGACGCCGCGUGGGGGAUGAAGGCCUUCGGGUUGUAAACCCCUUUCAGCAGGGACGAAGCGAAAGUGACGGUACCUGCAGAAGAGCGCCGGCUAACUACGUGCCAGCAGCCGC